GAUGAAGAACGCAGCGAAAUGCGAUAAGUAGUGUGAAUUGCAGAAUUCAGUGAAUCAUCGAAUCUUUGAACGCACAUUGCGCUCCCUGGUAUUCCGGGGAGCAUGCCUGUUCGAGCGUCAUUACAACCCUCAAGCUCUGCUUGGUGUUGGGCCCCGCCGCCCCGGCGGGCCCUAAAAUCAGUGGCGGUGCCGUCCGGCUCCGAGCGUAGUAAUUUCUCUCGCUUUGGAGGCCCGGGCGCGUGCUUGCCAUCAACCCCCAAUUUUUUUCAGGUUGACCUCGGAUCAGGUAGGGAUACCCGCUGAACUUAAGCAUAUCAAUAAGCGGAGGA
rnacentral:misc_RNA from 1 species